rnacentral:misc_RNA from 1 species
CGCCACCCACCACUCCCACCCCAAAUCGAGGGUCGGAGCUGAGUGGAACUGGCCGUCCCGAACGGAUGAAAUUAUGUUCGGGUCGGCUGAAAUGGAUGGAAUUCGGCCCCGCGGCGACACAGCCCGCGAUCAGGUGAUCCGCGCCCGCGAUUGACUUCGCGGACCGAGGUAUUUAUCAAGAGCGUGCGUGUCGCCCAGUCGGCGUUGUUCCGCAGAAAGCAGGUCUUUCCCCCCGCCGCCGCCGGGCUCGAGAGAGCUCGGCCGGUCCGGGGGAAAAAAAUACGUCACGC